rnacentral:piRNA from 1 species
UUUGUACUCUUUCAGAUACAA